UCAUGGAAUUCCUAUAACAAACCCGUAAAGCCAAGGAAGCGUUUCUGCUCUGUUGAGUACUAAUGAGUUUCUCUCUCUGCUUUGGUUUCAUGGCUCGUUUGGGUACAAGCUUUCUGCUUGGUUAAUCAUCAAAACUGUGAGAGCCAGGGUUUGGGGAGAAGACAGGGACGGACGCUACUGAAGUAUAGACCAGUAUGUAAAUCAGUACUAUGUGUUUUUAAGGAGGACGAGACAAGAUGAUGUCCAGAGUUGUCUAGCUGAGCAUUAUGGGUAAAGUGGAGCUCAGACAAGAAGAUAUGAUCUAUUUCCCCUAUCCCUUUCAAAAUAGAGUACAAAAGCAGUCUUAAGUAGCACAGGUAUAUUUGUAGCAAUAGCCAACAAUACAUUGUAUGGGUCAAAAUUAAAUUGGAGAUGUUUAUUGUUGUGUACCAUUGUCCAGGCAGCUGGGUCGAGCUGACUGUUUGGGAGAGGAUGCUGGGAGUGAAAGGGGAGGGCUUGAUGUCGUGAGGACUGCGGAAAGCCCAGCUUCCCAUUGGUCAGCACCUGCCGGCGGAGGCUCAGCGCGGGAAGAAGGGCCGGGUUUCCAGACCUGGCAUCGGGAUGGAGCGAUGGAGAAGAGGAGUGACCCGUCUGGACCCUCAGCACUGGUCACUCGAGGAGUUCCUGAGUCUGUGAGUUCAUGAAGUGUUUCUCCCCAUCAGUCACAGCGGGUGGCAGAGACUUUACCUGAGGACAAACGUCACCUCUGAACACCGCCGCACUGAAGAUGGAGAGACUCUGGAGGAACGCACUUCUCUGAAUCACUUCCCAGACCAGUUUAUAAAUGGCUGCCGGUGGGUGGAGAAGCUACACGACAAUAGGCCUAAUGAAGCCAUAAACACUUGUGCAAACGCCACAUGCUCCUACUUUAGUGACACCAUCAGGUCUAAUAACUCAACGUUCAAUUCUGUUUUGAAACCAGAGUUUAGCAGUGUGCAGUGAAUGUAAAAAACACUAUGGCAAGCUGUUUUAACAUUUGUGACCCUGGAUCACAAAAGCAGUCAUAAGCAGCACAGGUAUAUUUGUAGCAAUAGACAACAAUACAUUGUAUGGGUCACAAUUAUACAUUUUUCUUUUAUACCAAAAUCAUUAGGAUAUUAAGUAAAGAUCAUGUUCCGUGAAGAUAUUUUGUAAAUUUCCUACCAUAAAUAUAUCAAAACUUAAUUUUUGAUUAGUAAUAUGCAUUGCUAAGAACUUCAUUUGAACAACUUUAAAGAUGAUUUUCUCAAUAUUUAAAUUUUUUUGCAGCCUCAGAUUCCAGAUUUUCUCGGCCAAAUGUUGUUCUAUCCUAACAAACCAUACAUCAAUUGAAAGCUUAUUUAUUCAGCUUUCAGAUGAUGUAUAAAUCUCAAUUUCAAAAAAUGUACCCUUAUGACUGGUUUUGUGGUCCAUGUCACAUAUAAUCCUCAAAACAUUCUAGUAUAUAUUUUCAUGUUAAUAGUACAAAAAAUAGCUACUAGUAUCUAUUCCAUUAUGUAUUAAGACUUAUUUAAUAGCUACUAGAGCUUAUUCUUUAGCUGUUAGUAUUGGUAACUACUUUAUUUUAAGGUGUCCUUGUUACAUGUACUUACUAUUAUAAUAACAAUGAAUUAUGCAUAAUUACAUGCAAGUAACCCUAUAUAUGCAUAAUUACAUGCAAGUAACCCUAUAAGACAAACCCUAAUCCUAAACCAAAC
rnacentral:lncRNA from 1 species